AGCGAACGCUGGCGGCAGGCUUAACACAUGCAAGUCGAACGCAUCCUUCGGGGUGAGUGGCAGACGGGUGAGUAACACGUGGGAACGUACCUCUUUGUACGGAAUAGCUUUUGGAAACGAAAGGUAAUACCGUAUACGCCCUUUUGGGGGAAAGAUUUAUCGCAGAGAGAUCGGCCCGCGUCUGAUUAGCUAGUUGGUGUGGUAAUGGCUCACCAAGGCGACGAUCAGUAGCUGGUCUGAGAGGAUGAUCAGCCACACUGGGACUGGGACACGGCCCAGACUCCUACGGGAGGCAGCAGUGGGGAAUAUUGGACAAUGGGGGCAACCCUGAUCCAGCCAUGCCGCGUGAGUGAUGAAGGCCUUAGGGUUGUAAAGCUCUUUUGUCCGGGAAGAUAAUGACUGUACCGGAAGAAUAAGCCCCGGCUAACUUCGUGCCAGCCGCCGCGGUAA
rnacentral:rRNA from 1 species